GAUGAACGCUGGCGGCGUGCCUAAUACAUGCAAGUCGAGCGAACAGACGAGGAGCUUGCUCCUCUGACGUUAGCGGCGGACGGGUGAGUAACACGUGGAUAACCUACCUAUAAGACUGGGAGAACUUCGGGAAACCGGAGCUAAUACCGGAUAAUAUAUUGAACCGCAGGGUUCAAUAGUGAAAGACGGUUUUGCUGUCACUUAUAGAUGGAUCCGCGCCGCAUUAGCUAGUUGGUAAGGUAACGGCUUACCAAGGCGACGAUGCGUAGCCGACCUGAGAGGGUGAUCGGCCACACUGGAACUGAGACACGGUCCAGACUCCUACGGGAGGCAGCAGUAGGGAAUCUUCCGCAAUGGGCGAAAGCCUGACGGAGCAACGCCGCGUGAGUGAUGAAGGUCUUCGGAUCGUAAAACUCUGUUAUUAGGGAAGAACAAAUGUGUAAGUAACUAUGCACGUCUUGACGGUACCUAAUCAGAAAGCCACGGCUAACUACGUG
rnacentral:rRNA from 1 species